CUGGUGUGUUCAGAGCCAGUGUCUGUCAGACCAUAGACUCUGGUUUAUACCACACCACAGAGAAACAGGAGAGUGAAGAGACCAGCUGCAGCAGCAGGGCGGCUGGGCCUGCACUGACUCCAAACAUCU